UCCCUGGUAUCUCGGCUGGUAAAGAAUCCGCCUGCAAAGUGGGAGACCCGGGUUGGAUUCCUGGGUCGGGAA
rnacentral:tRNA from 1 species